UACGUAGGGCGCAAGCGUUGUCCGGAAUUAUUGGGCGUAAAGAGUUCGUAGGCGGCUUGUCGCGUCGGAUGUGAAAGCUCGGGGCUUAACCCCGGGUCUGCAUUCGAUACGGGCAGGCUAGAGUGUGGUAGGGGAGAUCGGAAUUCCUGGUGUAGCGGUGAAAUGCGCAGAUAUCAGGAGGAACACCGGUGGCGAAGGCGGAUCUCUGGGCCAUUACUGACGCUGAGGAGCGAAAGCGUGGGGAGCAAACAGG
rnacentral:rRNA from 1 species